rnacentral:rRNA from 1 species
AAUGGGCGAAAGCCUGAUGCAGCGACGCCGCGUGAGGGAUGACGGCCUUCGGGUUGUAAACCUCUUUCACCCAUGACGAAGCGCAAGUGACGGUAGUGGGAGAAGAAGCACCGGCCAACUACGUGCCAGAAGCCGCGGUAAUACGUAGGGUGCGAGCGUUGUCCGGAAUUACUGGGCGUAAAGAGCUCGUAGGCGGUUUGUCGCGUCGUCUGUGAAAACCCGCAGCUCAACUGCGGGCUUGCAGGCGAUACGGGCAGACUUGAGUACUGCAGGGGAGACUGGAAUUCCUGGUGUAGCGGUGAAAUGCGCAGAUAUCAGGAGGAACACCGGUGGCGAAGGCGGGUCUCUGGGCAGUAACUGACGCUGAGGAGCGAAAGCGUGGGUAGCGAA